rnacentral:rRNA from 1 species
GGGUCAGUAGGUUGGUCGUGCCACCGGUACGUACUGGUCUCACUGAUUCCUCCUUCUUGAAGAACCGUAAUGCCAUUAAGUUGGUGUUGCGGGGAAACAGGACUGUUACUUUGAAAAAAUUAGAGUGUUUAAAGCAAGCUAACGCUUGAAUACAUUAGCAUGGAAUAAUGAAAUAGGACGAUCGAUCCUAUUUUGUUGGUUUCUAGGAUUGACGUA